rnacentral:ribozyme from 13 species
UUUUUUCCGUUUUUUUUUUUUUUUAGCUUUUGAUUUUCUAGUUACUUUUGUUUUAUCAGCUAUCUAAAAUUGAGGAGGAGAAGCAUUC